rnacentral:antisense_RNA from 1 species
UUUGAUCGAGCCGAGGUAGAGCGGUUCGACACGGUCCUGUCCGUAGGUCGCCAGAACCGCCUGCGCCUC